UACGAAGGGGGCUAGCGUUGUUCGGAAUUACUGGGCGUAAAGGGCGCGUAGGCGGUGUGUCAAGUCAGGCGUGAAAGCCCCGGGCUCAACCUGGGAACAGCGCCUGAGACUGGCACGCUCGAGUUCGGGAGAGGAUGGUGGAAUUCCCAGUGUAGAGGUGAAAUUCGUAGAUAUUGGGAAGAACACCGAUGGCGAAGGCAGCCAUCUGGACCGACACUGACGCUGAGGCGCGAAAGCGUGGGGAGCAAACAGG
rnacentral:rRNA from 1 species